CUCCGGUUGAUCCCGCCGGAACCGACUGCUAUCGGAUUGAGAUUUAGCCAUGCGAGUCGAACGUUCCCCUGUUGCGGGGAGCGUGGCGUACGGCUCAGUAACACGUAGUCAACCUGCCCUGGAGACAAGGACAACCCCGGGAAACUGGGAUUAAUCCUUGAUAGGUCAUCUCAUCUGGAAGGAGAGAUGGCUUAAAGGGGUACGCGGGCUUCUUCCGCGAAUUCGCUCCAGGAUGGGACUGCGUCCGAUCAGGCUGUUGGCGGGGUAAUGGCCCACCAAACCUGUAACCGGUACGGGCCUUGAGGGAGGUGGCCCGGAGAUGGACACUGAGAGAAGGGUCCAGGUCCUACGGGGCGCAGCAGGCGCGAAACCUUCGCAAUGCGCGAAAGCGUGACGAGGUUAAUCCGAGUGACUCCCGCUGAGGGGGUCUUUUGUCAGCUGUAAAUAGGCAGGCGAAUAAGGGGAGGGCAAGCCUGGUGUCAGCCGCCGCGGUAAUACCAGCUCCUCGAGUGGUCGGGGCGAUUAUUGGGCCUAAAGCAUCCGUAGCCGGUUCCGUAGGUCCUCUGUUAAAUCCAACCGCUCAACGGUUGACCUGCAGAGGAUACCGCGGGACUAGGAGGCGGGAGAGGCGGACGGUACUCCGCGUGUAGGGGUAAAAUCCUUUGAUCCGCGGAAGACCACCAGUGGCGAAGGCGGUCCGCCAGAACGCGCUCGACGGUGAGGGAUGAAAGCUGGGGGAGCGAACCGGAUUAGAUACCCGGGUAGUCCCAGCCGUAAACGAUGCUAGCUAGAUGAUUCAUUCGCAAGUCGCGAAUGAAGUGUCGCAGGGAAGCCGUUAAGCUAGCCGCCUGGGGAGUACGGUCGCAAGACUGAAACUUAAAGGAAUUGGCGGGGGGAGCA
rnacentral:rRNA from 1 species